UAUGUAGAAUAUGAGGCCUUGGAUUUCAACGGCGCUACGGAGCUUGUCAAAGACAAGAAAAUUCCCAUCGUUGGUUUUCAAAAGUCUGCGUUGGAGCUUAUCAGAGAAUUCACCAAUUUAAUUGAUAAUUUUCAAUAUUCCUCUACCUCUCUCCAAUUUAUUUCCUCAAGCAUCUCCAUGUUUCUUAUCACUGUCUUAUUCUUCUCUUUAAUUUGCAGGCACUAGCAAACCCUGCACUUUGAUUUAUAAAACUGAGUAUUAGAACCCUCUUAAUGGUCAACCAUGGGGGAUUCAUAUCGAUUAUCUUUUCGCAAGCCGAUUCGCCGAGCUUCUGAUUCAUAAACCUAGCGAGGGUUUCCUUCUCUAUCUCCUCGCCGUGCUUCUUGCCCCAAUUUUGGUAGAAUUCCACGUGAGGAGGACAAAAAUGGACAAAUACGGUAUGGUGCCAAAACAUAGCAUUCUAUAGGACGUCACUUCAUGUAGAUACACAGUAUUGUCUGAGAGAUUCUACGAAAGAGUGGAGGAAGGAAGUAUAGUUUUGAAGAAAGCAUCAAGUUUCAGCUUCUGUGAAGAAGGUAUCAUGAUCGAAGGAGAAACCAAACCGAUUCGCUUACAUUUGGUCAUUUUGGCAUUUUGAUAUAAGGGGAUUUGAAGUAUAGAAAUAUUUUUGCUUCCUCUACUUUUCGGGAUUACAUCAAUUUUGGUGAUGCAACACUUCCCCUGUACAGGUUAGUCUUUUGUUCCUGACUUGUUUGAGUUCAAAGUUUAAAUUUGUUUUA